rnacentral:rRNA from 1 species
UACAGAGGUGGCAAGCGCUGUUCGGAAUUACUGGGCGUAAAGGGCGCGUAGGCGGCCUACUAAGUCAGACGUGAAAUCCCCCGGCUUAACCUGGGAACUGCGUCUGAUACUGGAAGGCUUGAGGAUGGGAGAGGGAUGUAGAAUUCCAGGUGUAGCGGUGAAAUGCGUAGAUAUCUGGAGGAAUACCGGUGGCGAAGGCGGCAUCCUGGACCAUUACUGACGCUGAGGCGCGAAAGCUAGGGGAGCAAACGGG